GCCCCGGUAGCUCAGCUUGGACAGAGCACCUGCCUUCUAAGCAGGGGGUCGGGGGUUCAAAUCCUCCCCGGGGCG
rnacentral:tRNA from 1 species